rnacentral:rRNA from 1 species
AUUGAACGCUGGCGGCAGGCCUAACACAUGCAAGUCGAGCGAGCGGCGGACGGGUGAGUAAUGUCUGGGAAACUGCCUGAUGGAGGGGGAUAACUCCUGGAAACGGUAGCUAAUACCGCAUACCAUCAGAUGUGCCCAGAUGGGAUUAGCUAGUAGGUGGGGUAAUGGCUCACCUAGGCGACGAUCCCUAGCUGGUCUGAGAGGAUGACCAGCCAAACUGGAACGGAGACACGGUCCAGACUCCUACGGGAGGCAGCAGUGGGGAAUAUUGCACAAGGGGCGCAAGCCUGAUGCAGCCAUGCAGGGUGUGUGAAGAAGGCAUUAGGGUUGUAAAGCACUUUCAGCGGGGAGGCGUUACCCGCAGAAGAAGCACCGGCUAACUCCGAGCCAGCAGCCGCGUAAUAC